UCCAGCGAAAUCGAAUACGUAAGUCACCUGCACGAGCACUUCAAGAGCCCGGUUCUCAUCCAAAAUGGCUGCUACAUGCCACCACAGACGCCGGGCUACGGUUGUGAGAUGUGGGCAUCAUCCAUUGAGCAAUACAGCUACCCAAAUGGAUCCUACUGGAGAAACUUCCCGAGGGCACGCUAAAAGCUUGAAAGCUGUCCACAGACAGUAAACAACACUCCAGAGGCCUGAACUGAAUAAAAGCAGGCUCCAUCAAAUGA
rnacentral:lncRNA from 1 species